rnacentral:misc_RNA from 1 species
UACGCCCGAUCUCGUCCGAUCUCGGAAGCUAAGCAGGGUUGGGCCCGGUUAGUACUUGGAUGGGAUGGGUACCAGGUGCUGUAAGUCUUGUAUUCGACGGGUUAUACUAGAGUAUCAAUACACACGCACGCACAGUGGUUGGAUACUAUGAAUCCAUGUAAGGAGUCCUUAGGCGCUACAGCCUAGUCGCUGAGUGUUGGCGCUUACGGCCAUACCAGCCUG